rnacentral:rRNA from 1 species
GACGAACGCUGGCGGCGUGCCUAAUACAUGCAAGUCGAACGCUUAAGAGAGGAGCUUGCUCUUCUUGGAUGAGUUGCGAACGGGUGAGUAACGCGUAGGUAACCUGCCUUGUAGCGGGGGAUAACUAUUGGAAACGAUAGCUAAUACCGCAUAACAAUGGGUGACACAUGUCAUUUAUUUGAAAGGGGCAAUUGCUCCACUACAAGAUGGACCUGCGUUGUAUUAGCUAGUAGGUGAGGUAAUGGCUCACCUAGGCGACGAUACAUAGCCGACCUGAGAGGGUGAUCGGCCACACUGGGACUGAGACACGGCCCAGACUCCUACGGGAGGCAGCAGGAGGGAAACUUCGGCAAUGGGGGCAACGCUGACCGAGCAACGCCGCGUGAGGGAAGAAGGGUCUCGGAUCGUAAAGCUCUGUUGUAAGUCAAGAACGGGGGUGAGAGUGGAAAGUUCAUACUGUGACGGUAGCUUACCAGAAAGGGACGGCUAACUACGUG